CCCAAUGAUGGAAAUUUAAUGGCCGCGGUAUAUUGACCGUGCGAAGGUAGCAUAAUAAUUUGUCUUUUAAUUGAGGACUAGUAUAAAUGGUCGAACAAAAAGUUAGCUGUCUCUGAGUUAUGCCUUGAAUUUAACAUUUAAGUGAAAAGGCUUAAAUAAUUUAAGGGGACGAUAAGACCCUAUAAAUCUUUAUAUUAAUUUGUUGUUAAAUUGGAAAGUAGAAUUAAUUCCGGGUUUAAUAAUUUUGAAUAUUUUGUUGGGGAGACAGAAGUGUAAAUAAAUAACUACUUUAAAAAAAAAGUUAAUGAUAUUUAAUGAGGAGAUCCUUUACUAAGGAUUGUAGAAUAAGUUACUUUAGGGAUAACAGCGUAAUUUCUUUUGAGAGUCCAUAUCGAAAAGGAAGCUUGCGACCUCGAUGUUGAAUUAAAGAUCCUAUAAUGGCGCAGAAGUUAUAAAA
rnacentral:rRNA from 1 species